UGGACUGUACUUGCACAGGAUCACUUCUACAGUGAUUCCUCUUGCAUACACAACAGUCAUCAGAACACCAAACAAUCUUUGAUGAUGAAGAUUGAUCCUCUCACAAGGACAUGCUUCACUGCUUGAUGAAAGAGUUGAGAAGAUCAUCUCUGAAAGGAU
rnacentral:snoRNA from 1 species